rnacentral:tRNA from 1 species
AGGAUUAUAGUUAAAAAUAACAUUUGAUUUGCAUUCAAAAAGUGCUAGAAUACCAGCUUAUCUUA